AACGUACGCUGGCGGCACGCCUAACACAUGCAAGUCGAACGAAGUAGCAACACUUAGUGGCAGACGGGUGAGUAACAUGUAGGUAUCUACCCUUUGGCCUGGAAUAACACGAGGAAACUUGUGCUAAUACCGGAUAAGUCUUUACGGAGAAAGCUUUAUGUACCAUUGGAUGAGCCUGCACUUGAUUAGUUUGUUGGUGGGGUAAUGGCCUACCAAGACUGUGAUCAAUAGCUGAUUUGAGAGGAUGAUCAGCCACAUUGGGACUGAGACACGGCCCAAACUCCUACGGGAGGCAGCAGUGGGGAAUCUUGCACAAUGGAGGAAACUCUGAUGCAGCGAUGCCGCGUGAGUGAAGAAGGCCUUUGGGUUGUAAAGCUCUUUCGUCGGGGAAGAAAAUGACUGUACCCGAAUAAGAAGGUCCGGCUAACUUCGUG
rnacentral:rRNA from 1 species